rnacentral:rRNA from 1 species
GAUGAACGCUGGCGGCGUGCUUAACACAUGCAAGUCGAACGGUGAACGAGGGAGCUUGCUCCCUCCGGAUCAGUGGCGAACGGGUGAGUAACACGUGAGCAAUCUGCCCUGGACUCUGGGAUAAGCGUUGGAAACGACGUCUAAUACCGGAUACGAGGCGUGGGGGCAUCCCCAACGCCUGGAAAGAACUUCGGUCCAGGAUGAGCUCGCGGCCUAUCAGCUAGUUGGUGAGGUAACGGCUCACCAAGGCGACGACGGGUAGCCGGCCUGAGGGGGUGACCGGCCACACUGGGACUGAGACACGGCCCAGACUCCUACGGGAGGCAGCAGUGGGGAAUAUUGCACAAUGGGCGCAAGCCUGAUGCAGCAACGCCGCGUGAGGGACGACGGCCUUCGGGUUGUAAACCUCUUUUAGCAGGGAAGAAGCGAAAGUGACGGUACCUGCAGAAAAAGCACCGGCUAACUACGUGCCAGCAGCCGCGGUAACAC